AGUCAGCAGGACCACCGUGUGCUCAGAUGCCUUGAAGUUGGGUCACCUCAACCAAUUAAGAACCCCAACCAGUGCCAGAACACGUGAAGGGGAAAGAAUUAGUUUUACAGUCUCAAGAUAGUAUAAAUGUAACUUUGGCUUAUGACUCCCAGGAAGCAGACUGACUAACUUUAACGUGGCAAUAUAUCCCCAUCUUAAGCACAAAGUCUGUUCAAGUUUCAAGGAGGAGGACACAUCUUCUUGCUUACCAGUAAAUUGAUGGCUGGAUCUGCAGUGCCAUAUUCUAACCAUGAGAGAAAAGUCAAGAGAAUCAUGGAUGCAUCAACACUGAUGUCUCUGAAUCAGAGAACCAGGACCAACCUUUAACUUCUUGAUAAGUGAGAAAAAUGAACCUCUGUAUUUCCAGCAACUAUUCCACAUAUGACCGAUCUCAUAAGGACCAGACCUCCUGUUUACUCACAGGCUGUUAGAUUUUUGUGCAACCUAACUGUGGAUGGUGGAUGUGCAAAAGCGUCUUAGUUUGAUGUAGACCUAUUUGCUUAUUUUUGCUCUUGUUUCCCUUGCCUGAAAAAACAUAUCCAAAAAAGUAUUGCUAAAAUUGAUGUCAAAAAGCAUACUGCCAAUGCUUUCUUCUAGAAGUUUUAUGGUUUCAAGUCUUCAGCUAUGUCCUUAAUUCAUUUGGAGUUUAUUUUUGCAUAUGGGAUGAGAAAGUAGUCCUGUUUGAUUCUUUUACAUGUAGCUGUCCAGUUUUCCCAACACCACUAGGCUGUCUUUUCCCCAUUGUAUAUUCUUGCCUCUUUUGUCAUAGAUUAACUGCCCAUAUAAGUGUAGGUUCAUUUCUGGGCUCUCUAUUCUGUUCCAUUGAUCUAUGUGUCUAUUUUGUGCCAGUACCAUACUCUUCUGAUUACCAUAGAUUUGCAGUAUAGUUGGAGGUCAGGGAGCAUGAUACCUCCUGUUUUGUUCUUUCUUAAGAUGGUUUAGCUAUUUGGAGUCUUUUCCAUACAAAAUUAUUUGUUAGAAUUGUUAGAAUUAUUUGUUAACAGUCCUGUGAAAAAUGCCAUUGAUAUUUUGAUAGAGAUUGCAUUGAUUCUAUAGUUUGUCUUGUGUAUUAUGGUCAUUUUAACAAUAUUAAUUUUUCCAAUCCAUGAGCAUAGUGUAUUUUUCCAUUUGUUUGUGUUAUUUUCAAUUUCUUUCAUCAGUGUCUUACAGUUUUCUUGUGUUAAGUCUUUUACCUCCUUAGUUAGAUUUAUUCCUAGGUAUUAUAUUCUUUUUUUGAUAAGAUUGUGAAUGGAAUGGUUUUCCUAAUUUCUUAUUCUGACAGUUUAUGUUAGUGCACAGAAACGCAAUAGAUUUCUGUAUAUCAAUUUUGCAUCCUGCAACUUUACCAGAUUGAUUGAUGAGUUCUGCUAGUUUUUUGGUGGUAUCUUUAAGAUUUUCUAUGUUAACAUCACGUCAUCUGCAAACAGUAACAGUUCUACAUCUUUCUUUCUAAUUUGGAUUCCUUUUACUUCAUUUUAUUGUCUGAUUGCUGUGGCUAGGACUUCUAAUACUAUGUUGAAUAAAAGUGGCAAGAAUGGGCAUGCUUAUCUUGCUCCUGAUCUUAACACCUAUCCUUCUGAAACUAUUCCAAAAAAUUUCAGAAGAAGGAGCACAUCUAAACUCAUUCUGUGAGACCAGCAUCACCCUGAUACUAAAACCAGACAAAGAUAUCACAAAAAAUGAAAAUUACAGGUCUAUAUCACUAAUGAACAUACAUGCAAAAAUUCUCAGCAAAAUACUAGCAAACCCAAUUCAACAAUACAUUGAAAGGAUCAUACACCAUGAUCAAGUAGGAUUUAUCCCAGGGAUGCAAGGAUCACUCAAUAUUCAUAAACCAAUCAAUGUGAUACACCACCUUAACAGAUUGAAGAAUAAAAGCUAUAUGACCAACUCAGUACAUGCAAAAAAAAUCUUUUGAAAAAAGUCAACAUCCAUUUAUAAUAAAAACUCUCCAGAAAGUGGGCAAAGAAGGAACAUACCUCAAUAUAAUAAAGGCCACAUUUGACAAGGCCACAGCUAACAUCAUACUCAACAGUGGAAAGCUGAAAGAAUUUCCUCUAAGGUCAGGAACAAUACAAGGAUACCCUCUCUCACCACAUUAUUCAUCAUAGUUUGGAAAGUCCUAGCCACAGCAAUCAGAGAAGAAAAUGAAAUAAAAGGAAUCCAAACUGGAAAAGAAGUAAACUCUCACUGUUUGCAGAUGACAUGGUACUACACAUAGAAAAUCCUGAAGAUGACAUCAGAAAACUACAAGAGCUCGUCAAUGAAUCUGACAGUUACAGGAUAUAAAAUCAAUAUACAGAAAUCUGUUGCAUUUAUAUAUACUAACAAUGAAAUAUAAUAAAAAGAAAUUAAGGAAACAAUCCUAUUUACCACUGCAUCAAAAAGAAUAAAAUAUUUAGGAAUAUACCUACAUAAGGAGGCAAAAGACCUGUACUUGGGAAACUAUAAGACACUGAUGAAAGAAAUUGAACAUGACACAAACAGAUGGAAAGAUGUACUUUGUUCUUGGAUUGGAAGAUCAAUGUUGUUAAAAUGACCAUACUACCAAAGGCAAUCUACAGAUUCAAUGCAAUCCCUAUCAAAAUACUUGUGGUAUUUUUCACAGAACUAGAACACAUAAUUUUAAAAUUUGUGUGGAAACACAAAAGACCUCGAAUAGCCAAAACAAUCUUGAGAAAUAAGAAAAGAACUGAAGGAAUCAUGCUCCCUGACUUCAGACUAUACUACAAAGCUACAGUAAUCAAAAAAGUAUGGUACUGGCACAAAACAGACACAUGGGUCAGCAGAACAUGAUAGAGAGUCCAGAAAUAAACCCAUACAUCUGUGGUCAAUUAAUCUAUGACAAAGGAGUCAAGAAUAUACAAUGGGGAAAAGACAGUCUAUUCAAUAAGUGGUGCUGGGAAAACUGGACAGGUACCUGUAAAAGAAUGAAAUUAGAACAUUCUCUAGCACCAUAUACAAAAAUAAAUCAAAAAUGGAUCAAAGACCUAAAUGUAAGAUUGGAUACUGUAAAACUUCUAGAAAAAAACAUAGGCAGAACACACUUUGACAUAUGUUGCAGCAAUAUUUUGGGGGUCCAUCUACUAAAGUAAAAGAAAUAAAUGCAAAAAUAAACAAUUGGGACCUAAUUAAACUUCAAGGCUUUUACACAGCAAAGGAAACCAUCUACAACAUGAAAAGUUAAGUUACUGAAUGGGAGAAAAUAUUUGCAAAUGCUGUGACUGACAAGGGAUUAAUAUCCAACAUAUAUAAACAACUCAUACAACUCAACAUCAAAAAAAAAACAAACAAAAACAAAAACAAACAGCCGGAUUAAAACACUGGCAGAAAAACUAAAUAAACAUUUUUCCAAAGAGGAAAUGCAGAUGGCCAACAGGCACACAAAAAGAAGCUCAACAAGGUUAAUCACCAGGGAAAUGCAAAUCAAAACCACAAAGAGAUAUCACCUCACAUCUGUCAGAAUGGCUAUUCUCAAAAAGAACACAAAUAAAAAUGUCAGCGAGGAUAUGGAGAAAAGGGGAUCCUUGUACACUGUUGUUAGGAAUGUAAGUUGGUGCAGCCACUGUAGAGAACAGUACGGAGGUUUCUCAAAAAACUAAAAAUAGAACUACCAUAUGAUUCAGCCAUUCCACUCCUAGGUAUCUAUCUGAAAAAACGAAAACACUAAUUCAGAAAGAUACAUGCACCCCAAUGUUCAUAGCAGCAUUAUUUACACUAGCCAAGAUAUGGAAGCCACCCAGAUAUCCAUCAACAGAUGAAUGGAUAAAGUACACACACACACACACACACACACACACACACACACACACACAAACAGGAAUACAACUCAGCCAUAAAAAAAUGAAAAAAAUUUUGCCAUUUGCAGCAACAUGGAUGGACUUGGAGGGCAUAAAUUAGACAGUGAAAAACAAAUACUGCAUGAUCUCAUUUAUGUGUGGAAUCUAAAAACUGGAACAAACUAGUGAUGCUGACUCACAUAUAUAGAGAACAAACUAGUGGUUACCAUCGUGGGGGCAUUAUAAGUAGGGGUGUGGGAGGUACAGACUGUUGAGUAUAAGGUAAGCUCAAGGAUGUAUUGUACAAAAUGGGGAAUAUAGCCAAUAUCUUGGAACAACUGUAAAUGGAAAGUAACAUUUAAACAUUGUAUAAAAGUUUUAAAAAUUAAAAAAAAAAACAAAAACAUUAAAUUGCCCCUCAAAGGAAAAAUAAGUCAUCUUUGGUCUAUCAAAUAUUUAUUUUGCUGUGUGAAGGGAGAUGGGGAUAUAAGCCGUACCAGAGCUAGCCAAAACUCCUCCAUCAUUUAUUGAACAUCUUUUCCUUUUCUCUUGUUUGUAAUGCACAAGGGAGGAGUAUAGUUGGCUUUCAGAAAUCAGAAAUUGCAUCACAAAUUUAUAACAUUUUCUCUGGGUCUUACAUGAUUGGACAAGUAGAGAUGUGUGGUGGGAAAUAGCUGAGGCAUAUGAAAUGAUGUGUGGGAUGCAAGGAGAAAUGAAAAUGAAUGGGAAGUGAAUAAUGAGGCUGAUAAGAAGACACCAGGCCAGAUCUUAAAGGGCAACUUAUACCACAUUAAAAACUUGAACUUUAGGUGUAGGACCCCUAGGUCCUAAUAUGAUAAGCUAAGCUUAUCUUUUAAGAGACAUACACAAACCAUCUCAAUUCCAUUUGAUUAAGUGACCUCAUGGUAGCCCCCUUUCCAGUUAUAUCUGACAGGUAAUUUUUUACAACUUCUAUUCUCCCAAACAUACUUCUUUAUAAUUCUGUCAAUGCCUUCCAUCUCUAUGGUUUCUACUUCUUUCUGAUUUGAAUGUGACAUCGCUGAAAAGCUACUCAUCACAUAUAUGCUAAAUAAAUUCUUCACACAUCCCUGGAUGACUGGGGAAUUUUACAUACACACCAAGGAGAUCCAAGAGAACUCAGUAGAAAGCAAAAGCCAAAGGACAAAUGACAAAUGCUGGAGAGGCUGUGGAGAAGAGAGAACCCUCCUACACUGCUGGUGGGAAUGCAGUUUGGUGCAGCUGCUGUGGAAAACAGUAUGGAGAUUCCUCAAAAGACUACAAGUAGACUUACCAUAUGACCCAGGAAUCCCGCUCCUGGGCAUAUAUCCAGAAGGAACCCUACUUCAAAAAGAUACCUGCACCCCUACAUUCAUAGCAGCAUUAUUUACAAUAGCCAAGACAUGGAAACAGCCUAAAUGUCCAUCAACAGAUGACUGGAUAAAGAAGAUGUGGUAUAUUUAUACAAUGGAAUACUAUUCAUCCAUAAAAAUGACAACAUAACAUCAUUUGCAGCAACAUGGAUGCUCCUGGAGGAUGUCAUUCUAAGUGAAGUAAGCCAGAAAGAGAAAGAAAAAUACCAUAUGAGAUCGCUCAUGUGUGGAAUCUAAAAAAUAAAAAAAAAGGAAGAAGACAAAUGAACUUAAAUAUAAAACAGAAACAGACUCAUAGACAUAGAAUACAAACUUGUG